UACGUAGGGUGCGAGCGUUAAUCGGAAUUACUGGGCGUAAAGCGUGCGCAGGCGGUUUUGUAAGCCAGUUGUGAAAUCCCCGGGCUUAACCUGGGAAUGGCAUUUGGGACUGCAAGGCUCGAGUGCGGCAGAGGAGACUGGAAUUCCUGGUGUAGCAGUGAAAUGCGUAGAUAUCAGGAGGAACACCGAUGGCGAAGGCAGGUCUCUGGGCUGACACUGACGCUCAUGCACGAAAGCGUGGGGAGCAAACAGG
rnacentral:rRNA from 1 species